CCUACGGGUGGCAGCAGUGGGGAAUAUUGCACAAUGGGGGAAACCCUGAUGCAGCGACGCCGCGUGAGUGAAGAAGUAAUUCGUUACGUAAAGCUCUAUCAGCAGGGAAGAAAAUGACGGUACCUGAGUAAGAAGCCCCGGCUAACUACGUGCCAGCAGCCGCGGUAAUACGUAGGGGGCGAGCGUUGUCCGGAAUGACUGGGCGUAAAGGGAGUGUAGGCGGCAUAUUAAGUUAUGUGUGAAAGCCCGCGGCUCAACCGCGGAAUUGCACAUAAAACUGGUAAGCUGGAGUGCAGGAGAGGUAAGUGGAAUUCCCGGUGUAGCGGUGGAAUGCGUAGAUAUCGGGAGGAACACCAGAGGCGAAGGCGACUUACUGGACUGUAACUGACGCUGAGGCUCGAAAGCGUGGGGAGCAAACAGGAUUAGAUACCCCUGUAGUC
rnacentral:rRNA from 1 species